GACGAACGCUGGCGGCGUGCUUAACACAUGCAAGUCGAACGGAAAGGCCCUGCUUUUGUGGGGUGCUCGAGUUGCGAACGGGUGAGUAACCCGUGAGUAACCUGUCCCUGACUUUGGGAUAACUUCAUGAAACUUGGGCUAAUACCGGAUAGGAGCUCCUGCUGCAUGGUGGGGGUUGGAAAGAUUCGGCGGUUGGGGAUGGACUCGCGGCUUAUCAGCUUGUUGGAGGGGUAGUGGCUUACCAAGGCUUUGACGGGUAGCCGGGCUGAGAGGAUGAGCGGCCACAUUGGGACUGAGCUGCGGCCCAGACUCCUACGGGAGGCAGCAGAGGGGAAUAUUGCACGAUGGGCGGAAGCCUAAUGCAGCAACGCCGCGUGCGGGAUGACGGCCUUCGGGUUGUAAACCGCUUUCGCCUGUGACGAGGCGUGAGUGACGGUAAUGGGUAAAGAAGCACCGGCUAACUACGUG
rnacentral:rRNA from 1 species